rnacentral:rRNA from 1 species
UCCAGGCCAACAUCGGUUCUGAGGGUCGGUCAAAGGCCUUGGGAAUGUAUCUACCUACGGGUAGACUUAUAGACCAGGGUGUCAUGCGGCCUCUCGGGACCGAGGAACGCGCUUCGGCUCGGAUGUUGGCGUAAUGGUUGUCAGCGA